rnacentral:rRNA from 1 species
GUGCCAGCCGCCGCGGUAAUACGUAGGGGGCGAGCGUUAUCCGGAAUUAUUGGGCGUAAAGCGCGCGCAGGCGGUCGAUUAAGUCAGGUGUGAAAGGCUGCGGCUCAACCGCAGAGCGGCACCUGAAACUGGUCGACUUGAGUGCAGGAGAGGGGAGUGGAAUUCCCGGUGUAGCGGUGGAAUGCGUAGAGAUCGGGAGGAACACCAGUGGCGAAGGCGGCUCUCUGGCCUGUAACUGACGCUGAGGCGCGAAAGCGUGGGGAGCAAACAGGAUUAGAUACCCCCGUAGUCC